rnacentral:tRNA from 1 species
GCCUGGGUGGCUCAGUCAGUUGAGUGUCAGACUUCAGCUCAGGUCAUGAUCUUGCGGUCUGUGAGUUCAAGCCCCACUUCAGGCU